CUCCCAGUUUUCCCCGCACGUGUCCCUGCACUCUCCAGAGGUAUCUGGCUGGACUCUAAGCUAUGCAGUGUGGGAACACUUCGUGGCCACGGAGAAGGCAGGAUCUAGCGGGGAGAGGUGCCUCAGGACGCAGGUCCCGGAGCCCCUCUCCUGUGGAAGGCAAAUGUGGGGUGUCCCAGGCUGGGACCAGCUCCGGGAGGUGGCACCAUCGUCCCAGGUCAUCUUCCCACUGGAGCAGGACCGGAUUGACAGGAGCAGCUGUCAGCCUGAAACCAUGCAGGGAGUUGAGGCCCCGCCUGGGACACCUGCAUCCGAAGUCCGAGGGCCUGGGUUCGAGUCCCGGCUCUGCCUCUAGGCCAGCCCCCCAGCUAGUGCGCACCCUGGGAGGCAGCAGCGACGGCCCAAGGACUUGGGGGUCCCUGCCCACCCCCAGGGGAGACCUGGCCGCAGCGCCCACUUCCUGGCUUCAGCCUGGCCUGUCAGGCUACUGGGACCUCUCUGUCACUCUGCCUUUCAAGUUAAAAUCAAUAAAACUUUCUUAAAAAUCAGGCUGUGCCUGGACCAUAGGACUCCCACCCAGAGAUCUGUUCCAGCUGGGUCCCGGGCCAGCUUGGCCACUGGCAGACCGACUCAGGGCCUCAGUUUCCCGGGCUGCACCAGGCCUGGGGGGCGGUGCCUCUGGGCUGUUUGUCCUGCGGCUCCCAGCAGCCGGGGAAGGAAGCAGGACGCUGGCCCCGGGGGUCCGGGCCAGUGGGGCAGGCUGCAGGCUUCCUGUCGCCUCCGGGCAGACGGCCCAGCUCCGGACGCUGCGCGCCGCCCUCAGAGCGCCUUGUUUCUUGAGCUCCGUGUGCGUGCACGCGCUGGACACGCGUGUGCACGAGCGGCCGGUGCACAGCCGCCAUCCUGGCUGCGUCUGCAACAUGGGACAAGCCGAUCAGCGGGGUCGACACCUUGCUCUCCUCUCCUCGGGCCAGCAGAGAGAACUCCAGGAGCUGGACCCCUCCCCCCGCCCCGGGAGCCCCAGGCUCAGCCCCCGGCUCCUAGCCACAGCAGACAGCUGGGGAGCGAACCAGCAGGUGGGAGUUCUGGGUCCCUCUGUGUCUCAGAUUAAUAAUAAAAAGAUCUUAUAAAAUCCA
rnacentral:lncRNA from 1 species